AUUGAACGCUGGCGGCAGGCCUAACACAUGCAAGUCGAGCGGAUGAAGGGAGCUUGCUCCUGGAUUCAGCGGCGGACGGGUGAGUAAUGCCUAGGAAUCUGCCUGGUAGUGGGGGAUAACGUCCGGAAACGGGCGCUAAUACCGCAUACGUCCUGAGGGAGAAAGGGGGGGAUCUUCGGACCUCACGCUAUCAGAUGAGCCUAGGUCGGAUUAGCUAGUUGGUGGGGUAAAGGCCUACCAAGGCGACGAUCCGUAACUGGUCUGAGAGGAUGAUCAGUCACACUGGAACUGAGACACGGUCCAGACUCCUACGGGAGGCAGCAGUGGGGAAUAUUGGACCAUGGGCGAAAGCCUGAUCCAGCCAUGCCGCGUGUGUGAAGAAGGUCUUCGGAUUGUAAAGCACUUUAAGUUGGGAGGAAGGGCAGUAAGUUAAUACCUUGCUGUUUUGACGUUACCAACAGAAUAAGCACCGGCUAACUUCGUG
rnacentral:rRNA from 1 species